rnacentral:rRNA from 1 species
AACGAACGCUGGCGGCAGGCUUAACACAUGCAAGUCGAACGCCCCGCAAGGGGAGUGGCCGACGGGUGAGUAACGCGUGGGAACAUACCCUUUUCUACGGAAUAGCUCUGGGAAACUGGAAUUAAUACCGUAUACGCCCUACGGGGGAAAGAUUUAUCGGGGAAGGAUUGGCCCGCGUUGGAUUAGCUAGUUGGUGGGGUAAAGGCCUACCAAGGCGACGAUCCAUAGCUGGUCUGAGAGGAUGAUCAGCCACAUUGGGACUGAGACGCGGCCCAAACUCCUACGGGAGGCAGCAGUGGGGAAUAUUGGACAAUGGGCGCAAGCCUGAUCCAGCCAUGCCGCGUGAGUGAUGAAGGCCUUAGGGUUGUAAAGCUCUUUCACCGAUGAAGAUAAUGACGGUAGUCGGAGAAGAAGCCCCGGCUAACUUCGUG